CGGUAACAGCUCAAAUUUGAAAGCUAGCUCUUUUAGGGUUCGCAUUGUAAUUUGUAGAAGAUGCUUCGGGUGUGGCUCCGGUCUAAGUUCCUUGGAACAGGACGUCAUAGAGGGUGAGAAUCCCGU
rnacentral:rRNA from 1 species